rnacentral:rRNA from 1 species
UACGAAGGGGGCUAGCGUUGUUCGGAAUUAUUGGGCGUAAAGGGCGCGUAGGCGGUCUUGUAAGUCAGCUGUGAAAGCCCGGGGCUCAACCCCGGAGGGUCGGCUGAUACUGCAGGACUGGAGUACGGAAGAGGUAGCUGGAAUUCCCGGUGUAGCGGUGAAAUGCGUAGAUAUCUGGAGGAACACCGGUGGCGAAGGCGGCGAUCCUGGACCGGUAUUGACGCUGAGG